rnacentral:rRNA from 1 species
UGCCAGCCGCCGCGGUAAUACGGAGGGGGUUAGCGUUGUUCGGAAUUACUGGGCGUAAAGCGUACGUAGGCGGAUUAAUAAGUUAGAGGUGAAAUCCCAGGGCUCAACCCUGGAACUGCCUUUAAAACUGUUAGUCUUGAGAUCGAGAGAGGUGAGUGGAAUUCCAAGUGUAGAGGUGAAAUUCGUAGAUAUUUGGAGGAACACCAGUGGCGAAGGCGGCUACCUGGUCCGAUUUUGACGCUGAGGCGCGAAAGCGUGGGGAGCAAACAGGAUUAGAUA